GGGGACUCGCCCCUUCGGGGGCCAGACGCCUCGAGCCCGGGGGUCGGGGUGAGCUCUGUACACCAUCGCACCAUGGUAGAGGCGACUCCCCUCUCCGGGAGCAAGAUGCCUCAAGCCCCGGUUUCAGGGGGGAACUCUGUACAUCCUUGCACCAGGGUAGAGGGGACUUUCUCCUCCAGGGCCAGAUGCCUGGAGCCCAGGUGUCAGUGGGGGCAGCUCUCUACACCAUCGCAUCCAAGGUAGAGGGUACUCCUCCGUCGAGGGGCGAGAUGCCUGGAGCCUGGGUGUGGGGAGCUCUGUACAAAACUGCACCCAGGGCAGAGGGGACUCACCCCUCAGGGUGCAAGACGCCUCGAGCCCUGGUGUCAGGGGGAGCUCUGUACACCAUGGCACCCAGGGUAGAGGGGCUGCCCCCUCAAGGCGCAAGAUGCGGCAAGCCCGUGUGUGUGUGUGUAGCUCUGUAUACCAUCACACCCAGGAUAGAGGGGACUUUCCCCCAUCCAGGGGCGAGACACCUGGAGCCCUGGUGUGUGUGUGUGUGGGAGCUCUGUAUACCAUCGCACCCAGGGUAGAGGGGAGUCCUUCCUCCAGGGGCGAGACCCCUUGAGCCUAGGUGUGUGUGUGGGAGCUCUGUACACCAUCGCACCCAGAGUGGAGGGGACUCCCAUCUCAGAGGGGCUAGAUGCCUGGAGCCUGAGUGUCGGGGGUGGGGAGCUCCGUACACCAUCAUACCCAGGGUAGAGGGGACUCCCCCCUCAAGGGGAAGGACGCCUUGAGCCCUAGUUUCUGGGGGAGCUCUGUAAACCAUUGCACCCAGGGUAGAGGGGACUCUUCCCUCCAGGCACGAGAUGCCUGGAGCCCAAAUGUCGAGGGCGAGCUCUGUGCACCAUCACACCCAGGGUAGAUGGGACUCCCCCCUCCAGGGGGGAGACGCCUGGAGCCUGGAUGUCGGUUGGGACCUCUGUACACCCUUGCACCCAGGGUGGAGGGGAUUUUCUCC
rnacentral:lncRNA from 1 species